UACAUUAAUCUCAACUAAUUUUUACAGAAUGUGUUGGUUCUAUUCUAGACUUGGUCGAUUCCUUUCCCCAUGUGCAGCAGUGCAGUUAAAUCGUAGCUGAUAUCAUGUGACAUCUUUCUGCAAUGAUGAUAUGUUCAUUCUGUUCAGCACAAAGUUGUGUGGUGAUUCAAUAUUAGUCAUGAAGGACUCUAUUUUAAUGAUUCAAAAUUGCUCAUCGGUAUAGCAAGAUGACUGGAUUAUUACAGUAGUGAUACAGUCCAGAUGGGAUUCCACUCGAGAAAUUACAGUUGUGAAUUUUGGUCCAAGGCUAUCCUGCUGGCCGAUGAUUGGAAGUGAAAUCAACUGUUUUGGAUGUAAUUACGAGUUCCUUAUUCCUUCAGCGCCCUACAGCUAGUGUUUGAUGGCCAGUCACCCUGUAUGGAUGACUUUCAACUGUAACAUCUAAGGAAAUCAUGUUGGUUUCCUGAUUGACCUGUUCAUAUCAGCUGUUUAUGUUUGGUUUUUCUUACAUUCGCCACCAACACAAUCAGCUGGAAGAUUGAUUCUCAUUCUGUGGUAGUAUUUCUUGCAAAUGUGAUACAGACUUGGACUGAUGAUUUUGAGGAUACUUUAUUCUAUAACAAUUGUUUAAAAUUAGAAUCCUAGUGUUGGAGCCUGGCGUGUCUGCAGUGUGUGUACAUUUGGCGGUUACUGGUUAAUCCUCGACAUUGCGAAAUAUUCUUCCGGCGUCUUCAGCUCACCUCCCGUCACCU
rnacentral:lncRNA from 1 species